rnacentral:sRNA from 1 species
AAUAAAUGGAUGAUGGGAGUGUAGCAUUACUAGGUACACUAGUACAUGUACUAGUACUAGGUAUAGUACUCAAGUCUUUGCAUAUGCUCUACUGGGGUGCAUGUGCCCCUGCAUGUAUGCGUGCAUGUGUGCAUGCAUGCGGGCUGUCUUUCUAAGUAGCCCGGGCUGGUUGAAGAAUGUUAGGUUAGAUGCACGGAAUGGCUAUUUAAGUGGACUAAAAUAAUUUGGGCUAUGGAUUUAUAACAUUUCACGUCUCCAUAAUCAUGAAGUUCAAACCAUUCAGCCUUGCAAAAGUGAUCCCCAUCCCCCCUCACAGGAACUUUAGUUUAUAGGGAGUUCAAGGCCGGCUGAGCCACACAGCUGAGGACAAUUUUGAAUUCAUAAUCCUCUUGCCACCACCUCCGAAGUUCUGGGAGUACACGUGUGUGUUACUAUGUUUAGCUUAAAUAUGUAAGAUCUCAUAUAAGAUACUGUGAUUUUUAAAAUGAGUGCUUUGUGACUGGGGUAUAGGUUCAAGGUGUUGCAUAUGCAAUCAGUCUCUGGCCCAGGGAUAUAAUGAGAGAAAGACAUUUUUAAGGUCAGUCUGGCAGUGAGAACUGUCCACUAUCUUCAAGCACAGUUUUAAAACUUGGGAAAUGAGCACAGUAUGCUCUAUUCUAGUUCUCCCGAAGGGAGCUCUAACCCUGCCUCAGCUCUGCUGUUAGCUGGCCUCACUGGCCUCCUUGGUGUGCAUUAAUUGAAUUGCAUGAAUUGCACUUAAUUAAAAUUUGAGUCACUUUAUCUUUCCUUUUCUUUGUUAUUGUUUGGUUUUUCUAGAUAGGGUUUCUCCGUUUAACCCUGGCUUUCUUAGAGUUCACUUUGCAUACCAGGCUGGCCUCGAACUCAGAGACCUACCUGCCUUUGCCUCAUGAAUGCUGGAAUUAAAGAUGUGCGACACUAUGCCUGGCUUAUUUUUCUUUUGACAUGACACCUUGCCUUGGACGAUCUGGACAAUCUGUUUACACUAACGUUUUAGACAAAGACAGCAUUCUGGCACCACUGUCAGGUCACAAUAUAAGGUCUAUGCCGCACUCUGUUCUGGUGUCUCCUUGCAUCCUAAAGCAUGUAAGCUUUGGUUUUCAAAAGUACACAUUCACUCCUUAGCCAUAUAGUGAUAUAAUGGGUAUGAUUAUCUACAAGCCCUGGAAUCCUAAUUUUAACAGGAUAGUUAGUCUUUAAACAUGUGAACAAAGGCUCCUGCAACAAAACAUCUAAGUAGGAAAAAGUAUGAUGUACCAUUUAGAAAGAAACGUGUAUACACAGAUGAAACAUCAACACAUGCAAAUAUAUGUAAAAACUUACAUGAGAUAGAACUAAAAUGCUUAUGGGACUUAGUUUUCAAUGAUGCACCUUUGUGCUUGCUUCCGUCGGUCCCAGGUUAUAUUAUACACAGCAAAAAUAAAUUAGACUUUUAAAAGGUGUCUUUAGAAAUCAUAGCUUAAGUCAAAGGGUGGUGCUGUGGCCUGUCAGUGUUACAGAAUGGAGUUUAGAGGUUACCUUGGGGUAGUUGGUAUGCCUAAGGAAUGCUAAGUUUCCCCAUUUUCAUGGUUUCCUUUGUCUUUUAUCUUCCUUUGCUCUCUGGGGCACCGAACAGAGAAAAACAUAGAGAUCAUGUAGGCCAAGAGAUUGUAAGCUCUUGUUUAUCUAAGCAAAACUUCCUCCGGGGCAGAUCCUGUCCUGCUUAGAUAUAUGCCAACUACUGGACACCACAGAAAAGCGUCUUUUGUGCUGCCAGGGCCUCCUCACAGGUGCGAGGACUGGGAUGGAUAAAGCAGAGGGCUCCUGAAGGGGGAGACUGCAGGGGCUGUCAGCUCAGCUAAGUGUGCUAGGAGGUAGGGUGUUAGGAUCCUGGAGUGAGGGCUAAUGCUUGCAACCUCAUUUUGAAUCAUUGCGCAGGCCCCAAACCCACCAAUCCAAUGAUUUACUAGCUUAUGUAGUUCCUAUGUGUCUUGGACUUCCUGCUGCUGUUGCUAUGGCUCCGAGGGUGGGACUAAAAGUUGCCUUGGCGGACAGGUUCUGGGGCUGACGUUCUUAGUUCAUAUAAUUCUGUAUCCUGUGAUACCCCCCUACCCCCUUAUUUAUCCCCUCUGACACCCAUGGCCUGCCUUUUUAGGGUAGUGAGUGGAAGACAAGAAAAAAAAAGAUCAAAUUUUGUUCACUGUGGUUGAAUUUAGGCUUUCUGACCAGUAGAUGGUAGCGCUGCUCCUUGCUGUCUCCUCCUGCUCAGUUUCUCCCCUGCCCGUUGUACUUGAAAAAAAAUGUGACGCAGCUUUGCUCCCACUCCACACCUUUCUUCUUCUUUUGUUGUUGUUAUUCAUUUUUCUUUAUUUUUCUUUUUCUUACUCAGAUGUUAUAGAUUCCAUGGGAUUUUCAAUGAGCACUAUAGUUGCAGCAAAGUGACUAAGACAUAUCUGCCUCGGAGAUUGACACUGCUGUCGGAGGAAUGGAUGUUGACUGCUUUACUUACUUCCUGCUCAGAGGAGUGGCAUCUAGAGGUAUCAGUCUAAGUGAAGGAUGGUUCAGGGUACCGUGCCCAAAUUCUAGUGGGCAGUGUUUCUGGGAUUCUAUCUGCGGUACUUUCUCUAGCAGCUGUUUUGCAUAUAUGCAUAUAGUUUCAAUGAAGUUGUAUCACUUCCUCAAAGAGCCAUAGACUGUCUAACGAAACCUUAGUACCAAGCAUGAGAAACCUUCUUUUCUGUUGUUGGUCAGGGGAGUCUAAGAUACUCCAAAGACGAUAUAGGCCAUUGCUAUUACCUUUGUCCCCAGAAGUUGAAGAUUAUGUCCCUAGUGCUGACGUGCUCUUCAGACAUAGGAUUUGGAGGAUUUGAACUGGACCUAACCUGAAAGCCUCUUCCCCGAAGACUAUCUUUCAUAGUAAUGGAGAGUGCUGUGUAGACUGCUAAAAGAGGGAAGCAAUCAAUAGUCCUACCAAUCCAUGAGGCUUAUAUGACCCAAAUAGUGACCAGCAUUAGCAAGAUACAGGUGCUAAUAAACUGCUGUCUAAUUAGACUUAAGACCUGCUCAACAGUAGGGAAAUCAUGCCCGGUACUACAAACCCAGUCAGCUACCUGUGACUAAUGAGGUCACAGAUUUGUGAGGAGAACCUACUGAUGUCAUGUCCCUGUAACAAUAAUUAACCUAACUGCUUUCUAAAUAUUUGUCCUUAUACCCACAGAUAAAUGUAGCCCUCACUCGUCAUAAAAGAAGCAUGUCUUUGCAGAAAACAGACAAUUUCAGAAAACUGCAGCUAGUCAAAAUGCAGUGAAGAACUGAAUGUAGGUUUGCCCAAGCACCUCUGAAGUUCAUGAAACAUCAUAGAAGGAUGGAAAGUUUUAAACCAAGGCGAUGCUGUCCUGCAGUUAAGUAGUCCUUCUUUAGAUGCCUGUCCUGCAGUUAAAUGGUCCUUCUUUAGAUGCCUAUACUUUAAUACUGUAUAUUUAUUGAUAUCUAUAAACAAGAAGGCUUUUUUGCGUGUUCUUGAACUUUACAUAAAGGGAACUAAACAGAAAAAAUGGAACAGAAUUCAGAACAAUAUAUUUUAAGCAAUUUCAGUUAUUAAACUGCUUCUUUUCCUUCCUUCCAUACCUCCCAUCUCCCUUCCCUCCUCUCUUUUCCUCUGCCCAUCCAUACCUUUUCUCCAAUUCUCAAUUUCUUGCUGCCUUACUUUUCCUUAGUGGUGUGCAAAUAGUUGUGUGGUUGUUCACCUGUUUUCUUCAUUUGUACCCUCUUAACUAAAAUAUCUCUUGUGCCAAAGGAAUCCUUCUGUGCCAAAUCCUUGUACUUAAGAAGUCACUGGCAGCAACUUAGAGGUCUGCUGAAGUGUUUGCAAAUGCCUACGAUCCUAGCAUGUGCUCAGGAGGAGCUGGCUGGCCCUGGACAAGGUCCUGUUGCACUUUCCCAGGGCUCAGGUAUGCAUCUAAACUGUCUCUUAUGAGCAUGUUGGAAUCAGGAAAGUUAUGCACAUCAAUGUCUGUAAGGCUCAGAAUAUCUAAUGGAAAUAGUGCUUACAGGAAGCAGAUGAGCUCUACGGUGAGUGGCUGCUUACUGCUACUGUCCUUGUCAGAAUAGACAUAGUAAUUUUGGAGAUGGGUCAUAGCUCUUGAGUGGAGUAUGGCCAUAUGUUUGAAGUGACCCAGGAUAUGUCUUUGAUUUAUUAUAAAAUAGUCACUGCCCAGAGAGCCGCAUGUGGCAGGUGAGGUCAAGGUCAGUGCUUGGCUUUGUGGCGCUGUGCAACUGUCCUCACCCCAUACGUGGGAGGUGACUCAGGCCACUGUAGGAAGGAGUUAUUCAGAAAAAUACUUUUUGAUGACCUAAUUUUGGGCAGUUGAAAGUGCCACAUUAUUGCUGAAAUGAACUUUGGACAACAGAGUGACUUUCUGUCUGCUUUCAGUCCUCUUUUCCACACUCUACUUCUUUUGCUGCUGUACCAGCAAUGGUGAAGAAAGAUAAUAUUUGACCUUCCAAUGGGACAGAUUGGGAGCAAUAGAGGUAUAACAAUCUAAAGCAUUUUAGAAGAUUCUUUGUGAGAACAAUUUUAGGUUAUUCUUAAAGAUACUCAUUAGCAAAUUCAUUGGUAUACAUAUAUUUCUGUUUAACUUCUUUUGAUGCUGUUAUUAAGAAAAGUUAAAUGUCUAGCAACAUGUAUACAGUGGUAUCAAACAGGUACUCUUUUGGUAUUCUGAAACCAAAGUCAAAGAAGUGUUUCUCCAUCACCUGAAGCUUCCUUUAUUCCUUUAAUGCAUUCCACCAUGGAGUAAUAUGGUAUCAAAUCGAUGUGUGUGUGUGUGUGUGUGUGUGUGUGUGUGUGUGUGUGCGUGCAUGCAUUUAUAUAUCAGUGUGUAUACAGUUAAUGUGAAUUUUAAAUGUAUAAACAAUGUAUACACUAUAGAUACUAUAUGUAACCCCAAUUUCCCUCUCCAACUUCUGUCAUGUCCCCCCAAACAUGCCUGCUCCUAAUUUCAUAUCUUUUUUUGUAACUCUAUUAGUCCAAUUAUUGUUCCCCAUAGGAAACCUACUCAAGACCCAGCUAUACCACUUCUGAGCAUAUACCCAAAAGAUGCUCCACCAUUCCACAAAGAC